UGAGUUCAGUGCUUCUGUGUUUGCUCUAAUUGAUUUUUUGAAAAGUAAAAAAAAAAAAUAAAUUUCUUCCCUUAACAUUAUUUCUCUCUAAAAAUAAGUAUUAAAGUUGCUCUAAAAAUGCCCCAAACCUAUUAAAUAUGAGAUAACUGUAGACUGGGAACAAUUGUUUUGAUUGUAACUCCAGUAAUAGAAGUUUGCUGCUUGCUCUGCCCUGAAAAAGAACUUGUGACUGAAAAUUAUUCCUGCUUUUUUAGAUGUUAGCUGUUUUAAUAUUAGUUAAGUUUUAAUAUAAGCUGUUAAUUCUUGCAAAUUCUACUGUGCUUCUAUCUUUAGAUCACCAUAGCUAUAACAGCAUUAUUACUGUAAAGUAUAGUAGAGAAUUACUGUAAAAAUUACUGGAACAUAGUCUACCUUUACAAUUGGAUGGGGCUGCUAUUGACAUCAGCAUUAAAAGACCAAACUGAGAAGAUAACAUUUACUGACACAGAGGAACAUUUUGCCUUUUUUUCAUAGUGUGUUAUUAGUGAGGCAUGCCCUGUACAUGUUCCCCCAAGGAGUCCAAAAUUUCCUCAUGUUACUUCCAUUCCCAGCUUCUGCUUUCUGGAAGCCCCGCUGCAUUUAACCCAGGGACCCGUUAACAGUUCUUGAAGCAUAUUUUUGCAGCUGGAUGUGUUUCCUGUACCUUAGCAUACACUUACUAAUAUAUGGAACUAACAUCCACAUGAUGGUCAGAAAAUUUCCAGAAUGUUUUCCUGUAUUUUUGUUUUUCAAGAUGUUCAGUAGCUAUGCCUGACCCUUACAGGCAUGGCAGAGGAGCUCGUGAGAAAAUUUUGGCUGAACUUCUGGUGAUGUUCAUGAGGUAAAGGAGAAGUUGCUGUUGUACUGUUAACAGAAAGAGAGAGAGAGACUAAUUCUAGGACAAGGAAGGUUUCAAAAUCAAAGGAGCGUUGCAUGGUUGUGUGUGUAUAAUUAAAAAAAAAAAAAAAAAAGAAAGAAAGAAAGAAAGCAAAAGAAAAGGAAAAAAAAAAGUAGAACUUCAACAGUCUGCCCCUCCAGUGUAGGAGGAGUGAAGCAAAUGAAUAUGGCCUUGAGUACACUUUAAAAUUUUUCAAUGCUGUAUUUUGCCAACUUUAGUUUACUCUGUUGACUAUUCAGUCAGACCCUUUUUAAAUUAAAAAGAAAUACAUGGCUGAAUUAUUUAUUAAACAAAAGGUGCUUCUGUGCAUGCAGACUACCUGUAAACUUCUUUUGGCAUUGGAGUUUGCAGUAAUAGAAUUUGAGAAAGCGCAUUGCUAAUAAGCAGAGGAAUGGAACAACUGUUCUCCUAAAGUAAGUCUGUCUCUGAGGCAGCCAAUAAACUAAGUUGUGUCUGACUAGUCACAG